rnacentral:rRNA from 1 species
GAUGAACGCUGGCGGCGUGCUUAACACAUGCAAGUCGAACGGAACUACUCCAAUGAGAGUCUUCGGAAAGGAUUUGGUUUAGUUUAGUGGCGGACGGGUGAGUAACGCGUGGGUAACCUGCCCUAUACAGGGGGAUAACAGUUGGAAACGACUGUUAAUACCGCAUAAGCGCACAGGAGCGCAUGCUCCGGUGUGAAAAACUCCGUGGGUAUAGGAUGGACCCGCGUCUGAUUAGCUGGUUGGCGGGGUAACGGCCCACCAAGGCGACGAUCAGGAGCCGGCCUGAGAGGGUGAACGGCCACAUUGGGACUGAGACACGGCCCAAACUCCUACGGGAGGCAGCAGUGGGGAAUAUUGCACAAUGGGGGAAACCCUGAUGCAGCGACGCCGCGUGAGCGAAGAAGUAUCUCGGUAUGUAAAGCUCUAUCAGCAGGGAAGAAAAUGACGGUACCUGACUAAGAAGCCCCGGCUAACUACGUG